rnacentral:rRNA from 1 species
UACAGAGGGUGCAAGCGUUGCUCGGAAUUAUUGGGCGUAAAGAGGAAGUAGGUGGUCGGAUUUGUCUGAGGUGAAAGCCUUCAGCUUAACUGAAGAAGGGCCUCAGAAACGGUCCGACUGGAGUCCUGGAGAGGGUCGUGGAAUUCCCGGUGUAGCGGUGAAAUGCGUAGAGAUCGGGAGGAACACCGGAGGCGAAAGCACUCUGCUGGGCCGACACUGACACUGAGAGACGAAAGCUAGGGGAGCGAAUGGG